rnacentral:rRNA from 1 species
GAUGAACGCUGGCGGCGUGCCUAACACAUGCAAGUCGAGCGAACGGACGAGACGCUUGCUUCUGUGCUGUUAGCGGCGGAUGGGUGAGUAACCCGUGGAUUACCUCCCUAUAAGACUGGGACAACUUCGGGGAAAAGAAUCUAAUACCGGAUGUUAUUUUGAACCGCAUGGUUCAAAAGUGAAAGACGGUCUUGCUAUCACUUAUAGAUGGAUCCGCGCUGCAUUAGCUAGUUGGUAAGGUAACGGCUUACCAAGGCAACGAUGCAUAGCCGACCUGAGAGGGUGAUCGGCCACACUGGAACUGAGACACGGUCCAGACUCCUACGGGAGGCAGCAGUAGGGAAUCUUGCGCAAUGGGGGAAAGCCUGACGGAGCAACGCCGCGUGAGGGAUGAAGGUCUUCGGAUGGUAAAACGCUGUUGUUAGGGAAGAACAUAUGUGUAAUUAACAGGGCAGAUCUUGACGGUACCUGAUCAGAAAGCCCCGGCUAACUACGUG